rnacentral:rRNA from 1 species
AUUGAACGCUGGCGGCAGGCCUAACACAUGCAAGUCGAGCGGAUGAAGGGAGCUUGCUCCUGGAUUCAGCGGCGGACGGGUGAGUAAUGCCUAGGAAUCUGCCUGGUAGUGGGGGAUAACGUCCGGAAACGGGCGCUAAUACCGCAUACGUCCUGAGGGAGAAAGUGGGGGAUCUUCGGACCUCACGCUAUCAGAUGAGCCUAGGUCGGAUUAGCUAGUUGGUGGGGUAAAGGCCUACCAAGGCGACGAUCCGUAACUGGUCUGAGAGGAUGAUCAGUCACACUGGAACUGAGACACGGUCCAGACUCCUACGGGAGGCAGCAGUAGGGAAUAUUGGACAAUGGGCGAAAGCCUGAUCCAGCAAUGCCGCGUGUGUGAAGAAGGUCUUCGGAUUGUAAAGCACUUUAAGUUGGGAGGAAGGGCAGUAAGUUAAUACCUUGCUGUUUUGACGUUACCAACAGAAUAAGCACCGGCUAACUUCGUG